GACGAACGCUGGCGGCGUGCUUAACACAUGCAAGUCGAACGCUGAAGCUUGGUGCUUGCACUGGGUGGAUGAGUGGCGAACGGGUGAGUAAUACGUGAGUAACCUGCCCUUGACUCUGGGAUAAGCCUGGGAAACUGGGUCUAAUACUGGAUACGACAUGUCACCGCAUGGUGGUGUGUGGAAAGGGUUUUACUGGUUUUGGAUGGGCUCACGGCCUAUCAGCUUGUUGGUGGGGUAAUGGCUCACCAAGGCGACGACGGGUAGCCGGCCUGAGAGGGUGACCGGCCACACUGGGACUGAGACACGGCCCAGACUCCUACGGGAGGCAGCAGUGGGGAAUAUUGCACAAUGGGCGGAAGCCUGAUGCAGAGACGCCGCGUGAGGGAUGACGGCCUUCGGGUUGUAAACCUCUUUCAGCACGGAAGAAGCGAAAGUGACGGUACGUGCAGAAGAAGCGCCGGCUAACUACGUG
rnacentral:rRNA from 1 species